GACGAACGCUGGCGGCGUGCUUAACACAUGCAAGUCGAACGGAAAGGCCCUGCUUUUGUGGGGUGCUCGAGUGGCGAACGGGUGAGUAACACGUGAGUAACCUGCCCUUGACUUUGGGAUAACUUCAGGAAACUGGGGCUAAUACCGGAUAGGAGCUCCUGCUGCAUGGUGGGGGUUGGAAAGUUUCGGCGGUUGGGGAUGGACUCGCGGCUUAUCAGCUUGUUGGUGGGGUAGUGGCUUACCAAGGCUUUGACGGGUAGCCGGCCUGAGAGGGUGACCGGCCACAAUGGGCCUGAGAUACGGCCCAGACUCCUACGGGAGGCAGCAGUGGGGAAUCUUGCACAAUGGGCGGAAGCCUGAUGCAGCAACGCCGCGUGCGGGAUGACGGCCUUCGGGUUGUAAACCGAUUUCGCCUGUGACGAAGCGUGAGUGACGGUAAUGGGUAAAGAAGCACCGGCUAACUACGUG
rnacentral:rRNA from 1 species